rnacentral:misc_RNA from 1 species
CAGAGUUCAUGCCCUACCGGGUAGAUCUCCCACCCUAUGUUAUUAUUACUUUGUUGCUUUGGCGGGCCGUUAGGCUCCGGCCCGACUACCGGCCCCGGCUGGUAAGCGCCCGCCAGAGGACCCAAAACCCUGAAUAUUAGUGUCGUCUGAGUACUAUAUAAUAGUUA